AUCUUGCGCAAUGGACGAAAGUCUGACGCAGCCACGCCGCGUGAGUGAAGAAGGCCUUCGGGUUGUAAAGCUCUGUCGUGCGGGAAGAAAACCCGGAGGGUGAAUAGCUCUUCGGCUUGACGGUACCGCAAAAGGAAGCACCGGCUAACUCCGUGCCAGCAGCCGCGGUAAUACGGAGGGUGCAAGCGUUGCUCGGAAUUAUUGGGCGUAAAGGGCAGGUAGGUGGUCUCAUUUGUCUGGGGUGAAAGCCCAGGGCUUAACCCUGGAAGUGCCUCAGAAACGGUGAGACUGGAGUGCUGGAGAGGGUCGUGGAAUUCCCGGUGUAGCGGUGAAAUGCGUAGAGAUCGGGAGGAACACCAGAGGCGAAGGCGGCGACCUGGACAGCAACUGACACUCAACUGCGAAAGCGUGGGGAGCAAACAGG
rnacentral:rRNA from 1 species